UUCCAUUAGAAUGUUCAAAGCUACUGUUUUUAGGUGCCUCCCUGCUGUUGAAGAAGCAGACACAAGGACUGGAACACUGUGAAGGUUACAUGUUGGCUCAGCUUCAAGUUUCAUGACAGACUUUCAAUCAAUGACCCAAGAUGACCCUUUCUUUACAGGAAGCAAACUAAUAGGCUUUAGUGAUCUUUACCUGCACUCACUGAUUGUGAAGCAAACCAGAGAGGCCUAAAAAUGAGCAUCCAUAACUUUAUUCAUCUGCCUAUUGGAUAUAUAGGGGACCAGUCCUGUCAAAGCAAGGAGGGAAGGAAACUAUGCUCUUCAAAGUGAAAAGUCAUCCUGGAUUCUGCAAGAGGGAUGGAAGAUGGGAUCCUGAUUCUGCUGAGAAUGAGCACGUACCCUGAUUGAGCUACACAAUAGCUAUGCAGCAGCCUGACUAUGCAUGAUUUAUCCUAAUAUAGCUAGG